UGUGGUUUUAACUUGUGAUCCCAUGAUAC
rnacentral:piRNA from 1 species